rnacentral:rRNA from 1 species
AUUGAACGCUGGCGGCAUGCCUUACACAUGCAAGUCGAACGGCAGCACGAGUGCUUGCACCUGGAGGCGAGUGGCGAACGGGUGAGUAAUACAUCGGAACGUACCUUAUCGUGGGGGAUAACGCAGCGAAAGCUGUGCUAAUACCGCAUACGCCCUGAGGGGGAAAGCGGGGGAUCGCAAGACCUCGCGCGAUUAGAGCGGCCGAUGCCUGAUUAGCUUGUUGGUGGGGUAAAAGCCCACCAAGGCGACGAUCAGUAGCUGGUCUGAGAGGACGAUCAGCCACACUGGGACUGAGACACGGCCCAGACUCCUACGGGAGGCAGCAGUGGGGAAUUUUGGACAAUGGGGGCAACCCUGAUCCAGCAAUGCCGCGUGAGUGAAGAAGGCCUUCGGGUUGUAAAGCUCUUUUGUCAGGGAAGAAACACCGGCUCUAACACAGUCCGGGAAUGACGGUACCUGAAGAAUAAGCACCGGCUAACUACGUGCCAGCCGCCGCAGUAA